GGGACACGUGGUAUCCUGUCUGAAUAUGGGGGGACCAUCCUCCAAGGCUAAAUACUCCUGACUGACCGAUAGUGAACCAGUACCGUGAGGGAAAGGCGAAAAGAACCCCGGCGAGGGGAGUGAAAAAGAACCUGAAACCGUGUACGUACAAGCAGUGGGAGCACGCUUAGGCGUGUGACUGCGUACCUUUUGUAUAAUGGGUCAGCGACUUAUAUUCUGUAGCAAGGUUAACCGAAUAGGGGAGCCGAAGGGAAACCGAGUCUUAACUGGGCGUUAAGUUGCAGGGUAUAGACCCGAAACCCGGUGAUCUAGCCAUGGGCAGGUUGAAGGUUGGGUAACACUAACUGGAGGACCGAACCGACUAAUGUUGAAAAAUUAGCGGAUGACUUGUGGCUGGGGGUGAAAGGCCAAUCAAACCGGGAGAUAGCUGGUUCUCCCCGAAAGCUAUUUAGGUAGCGCCUCGUGAAUUCAUCUCCGGGGGUAGAGCACUGUUUCGGCAAGGGGGUCAUCCCGACUUACCAA
rnacentral:rRNA from 1 species